AGAAAACCCAAAAGAUGCAAACCCACCACAUACAAAAGGAUAUAUCAUAUGAGAAACUAGAAAAUUCUUACAGGCAUAAAACUGCCAUGCUAAUUCUUCAAGAGAACAGCAGAGGCAAUUAUGACCUGGACAAAUGAAAACACCACUUUCUGUUAAGUUUAAGAGGCUUUUAAUUCUCUUCUGAAGUAGCGAGGGAGGAAGGAGUGGUCUCUGGCUAGGAAGUACAUGAGAAGCAUUGGUGUCCGAGACUAUUCUUCACAGUACCAGACAGCAUUCUUCAUCUGACUCUGUCAUGAGCAAUGGGAUCCUCAGCUGUGAUCUCAUCUGUCCCAUCAGAGGAGGGGAGUCCUGGACACAGGUCUCAAGGAUGCUAGAGGCAUACAGUCCCCAAGACACAGGAUCUCAGGGACAGGAAAGGAAUUAAUUCUAGAGUGUUCGCAGGAUCUGAAUCACAACUAAUUGUAACAGUAUCUCCACCACCCAGGAUUUGGACUGCAACUGAUCUGCUACUCAACUGGCACCAGCACUGUUGAAAAGGAGAUGUCCCUGAGGGGUAGCCUUGUCUCUCGAAAUGAAUUGAAAUAGUUUCCCCUGGACCUGGAUUCUGCCAGCACCAACCAGACUUCUGUGUACUUCUGAGCCAGCAGUGUACCCACAGCACUGCACAGCCACAUCCUCUCUGCACAAAAAGAGUGCCUUCAAGAUUCCUGACCCUAACUAGGAGAAGUUUCCUCACAAGAUUGCACUGAAGCCCCGCCUGACCUCAAUAUUAUUUAAUUCUCUUUUCCCAUUCAUGUCUGUCAGACUCCUUUCCUUUUAUAAUCAAAGUGUUUCCCCCUGGUUGCUAUUCCCCUAAACUAGAGGGUAUUAACCCAACGUGAAUAUUUUCUAAGAUGAACUUCAAUUUUCAGAUAUGGGUGUAGGGAAAUUCUGAUGAAAUUGAAUUGUGUUCAAAUAAAUAAAGACAAAAAAACCCAGAUGUUCAAAGAUUUUUCAAUGGGGUCUCUCAAUGAGUAAUCAAUCAUGUUGUAUAGGAAAAUAAUUAGGGUAGGGGACUUCCUGAGGUGUGAAAUGGCCUGAGCAUGGGUGAGAGAGGAUGCAGAGGGUAGUGAAAAGUUUGCAGAGGAGAUGUGGGCUCAGGGUUACCCAGAGGGAGGAAAA
rnacentral:lncRNA from 1 species